CUCCUCAAAUGCAGAUACCUUUUUUACAUGUAUAAGCUCUGAUUCGAAACGCUUCAGAAUAAGGCUAUAAUUCUUGGAGAUUUCUGCCUGCAGGAAGGGAGAGUUUAGCUUUUGAAACCUGUAAAACAGACAGAAGGCAUCUGCUCCUUUGUCUUGUGGAAGCAGGACUGGUACUCCCAAAAUAGUGUUGGUCAGGAUGCCCCAAUCCUCUGUUACACAUAUUGCAGGGAUGGCACACUACUGGAAGAGCAUCCUGUGAGGUCUUCAGUGGGCUUUACCAAGCUACUCAUCUGCAGAAGAAGUACAACAAAUCUGAUUAACACUGACUGAUGAUACAAAUUAAAAAUGAGAAAUAACAACCUGCUUCCUGCUUUAAAAAGGCCAUAAUCUUUUCUGAUUUUCUAUAAUGUGUCUCUUUUUACUACUAUGGUUUCUAUAUCAUACUUCCAAUAAAAAAACAAAAAAACAAAACAAACUUUGAAGAUAAUGUACAUGGAGUGUCAAAUAUUUUUGAUAAGACGUUCUAUCUAUCUAUCUA